AUUGAACGCUGGCGGCAGGCCUAACACAUGCAAGUCGAACGAGUGGCGGACGGGUGAGUAAUGUAUGGGAAAAUGCCUGAUGGAGGGGGAUAACUACUGGAAACGGUAGCUAAUACCGCAUACCAUCGGAUGUGCCCAGAUGGGAUUAGCUAGUUGGUGGGGUAACGGCUUACCAAGGCGACGAUCCCUAGCUGGUCUGAGAGGAUGACCAGCCACACUGGAACUGAGACACGGUCCAGACUCCUACGGGAGGCAGCAGUGGGGAAUAUUGCACAAUUGGCGCAAGCCUGAUGCAGCCAUGCCGCGUGUAUGAAGAAGGCCUUCGGUUUGUAAAGUACUUUCAGCGGGGAGGCGUUACCCGCAGAAGAAGCACCGGCUAACUCCGUGCCAGCAGCCGCGGUAAUAC
rnacentral:rRNA from 1 species